rnacentral:rRNA from 1 species
UGGGGAAUAUUGCACAAUGGGCGCAAGCCUGAUGCAGCCAUGCCGCGUGUAUGAAGAAGGCCUUCGGGUUGUAAAGUACUUUCAGCGGGGAGGAAGGUGUUGAGGUUAAUAACCUCAGCAAUUGACGUUACCCGCAGAAGAAGCACCGGCUAACUCCGUGCCAGCAGCCGCGGUAAUACGGAGGGUGCAAGCGUUAAUCGGAAUUACUGGGCGUAAAGCGCACGCAGGCGGUCUGUCAAGUCGGAUGUGAAAUCCCCGGGCUCAACCUGGGAACUGCGUUCGAAACUGGCAGGCUAGAGUCUUGUAGAGGGGGGUAGAAUUCCAGGUGUAGCGGUGAAAUGCGUAGAGAUCUGGAGGAAUACCGGUGGCGAAGGCGGCCCCCUGGACAAAGACUGACGCUCAGGUGCGAAAGCGUGGGGAGCAAACA